AUUGAACGCUGGCGGCAGGCCUAACACAUGCAAGUCGAGCGGUUGAGGGGAGCUUGCUCCCUGAUUCAGCGGCGGACGGGUGAGUAAUGCCUAGGAAUCUGCCUGUUAGUGGGGGACAACGUUUCGAAAGGAACGCUAAUACCGCAUACGUCCUACGGGAGAAAGCAGGGGACCUUCGGGCCUUGCGCUAAUAGAUGAGCCUAGGUCGGAUUAGCUUGUUGGUGAGGUAAUGGCUCACCAAGGCGACGAUCCGUAACUGGUCUGAGAGGAUGAUCAGUCACACUGGAACUGAGACACGGUCCAGACUCCUACGGGAGGCAGCAGUGGGGAAUAUUGGACAAUGGGCGAAAGCCUGAUCCAGCCAUGCCGCGUGUGUGAAGAAGGUCUUCGGAUUGUAAAGCACUUUAAGUUGGGAGGAAGGGUUGUAGAUUAAUACUCUGCAAUUUUGACGUUACCGACAGAAUAAGCACCGGCUAACUCUGUGCCAGCCGCCGCGGUAAGAC
rnacentral:rRNA from 1 species